rnacentral:misc_RNA from 1 species
UCCUCAUCAUUUCCGUGUUGAUUUGCAUACAAAGAUGGCGACAUGCUACGUUUUCGUGUGUGGGACAUAUAGGAUAGUACUUUUCUCUGUGCUUGAGUGGGAGCUACUGACAUGUUGAUACGGAAAACCCCCUAGGCGCUGCUCAUCCAACAAGAUUCACCAUGAAGCCAUGCUGGAAGAAAGAACGGCCCCCGGAAAUUGAAAGAAGAAUAAAAGCCAAUGACACAGAAUACAAUGCUCAAUUUGAAUAUGCAAACAACUACAUUUCCACGUCCAAGUACAAUGUGCUUACAUUCCUGCCCAAGAACCUGUUCGAGCAGUUCCAGCGCCUGGCCAACGCCUACUUCCUGGGUCUGCUUAUCAUGCAGUUUAUUCCAGCUGUAACAUCACUUAGUCCUGUGACCACCAUCAUUCCAUUGGUGUUCGUGCUCACGGUGUCGGCCAUCAAGGAUGCAAUCGAUGAUUUCAAACGUCAUCGGAGCGAUGCACAGGUAAACAACAGGAAGUCAGAUGUAUUGCGAGAUGGCAAAAUCGUAUCGGCACGAUGGCACACCGUUGUUGUGGGCGACAUCAUACGACUCAGAAACAAUGACUUUGUUGCUGCUGACUUCAUGCUGCUGUCCACCAGUGAACCCAACAGUUUAUGCUACAUUGAGACUGCCGAGUUGGAUGGGGAGACCAAUCUUAAGGUGAAACAGGCCUUGCCAGAGACUGCGGUCAUUGGAGACGAUCAUCCAAAGAUGUCACAGUUUAAUGCGGAGAUAAUCUGUGAAGCUCCGAACAUCCGCCUGAGCAAGUUUGAGGGCAAGUUGACGUGGAAGGGAGAGACCUACUCCCUGGACAACGACAAGGUGGUGCUGAGGGGAUGUGUCUUGCGGAACACCCAGUGGUGCUACGGACUCGUCGUCUUCGCCGGACAUGACUCAAAGCUCAUGAUGAACAGCGGCAAGACAGUGUUCAAGAGAACCCACAUCGACCGACUCAUGAAUAUCCUCAUUGUUGGAAUAUUCCUGUUCCUCUUGACCAUGUGCCUCGUGACCACCAUUGCUUGUGGUGUCUGGGAGAGCGUGGUCGGCUUUGACUUCCAAUUGUAUCUGCCAUGGGAGACCUUUGUGAAUGACGACAAGGAGCAGGGUGCUGCAACAAUUGCUGUGCUGGUGUUUCUAUCUUACCUCAUCAUCCUCAACACUGUCGUACCCAUCUCCCUGUAUGUCAGUGUGGAGAUAAUCCGGCUAGUCAACAGCUUGUGGAUCAACUGGGAUGUCAAGAUGUACUUUGACAAGAAGGACACCCCUGCCAAAGCUCGGACCACAACCCUUAAUGAGGAGCUAGGACAGAUUGAAUACAUUUUUUCUGACAAGACAGGAACUCUCACACAGAACAUCAUGACAUUCAACAAGGCAUCUAUAGGUGGGAAAUCUUACGGAGACCCGCUGGACAACGAAGGCAACCCUCAGGACAUCACAGAGAGAACUCCCAAAGUAGAUUUCAGUGGGAAUGAAUAUGCAGAGAAGUCAUUUGAUUUUUACGACUCGCGUCUGCUGGAGCACACCAAGGGAGGCAACCACCAGGUGGAGGAGUUCUUCAGACUGCUGAGUCUGUGUCAUACAGUCAUGCCGGAGACCAAGGAGAGUGGUAACCUGGAGUACCAGGCUCAGUCCCCUGAUGAAGGUGCUCUGGUGUCAGCUGCACGGAAUUUUGGUUAUGUCUUCAAGUCUCGGACACCAAACACCAUCACAAUAGAAGUCCAGGGCAAACAGGAAGUGUACGAUCUGCUGUGCAUUCUGGACUUCAACAACUUCCGUAAGAGGAUGUCGGUGAUCGUGAAGAAGGACGGUGUCAUCACGCUGUACUGUAAGGGGGCUGACUCAGUCAUAUUCGAGCGUUUGGACAGAUCCUGUGCUGAACUGAAGGAAAUUACUUCACACCACCUUAAUGAGUUUGCUCAGAUAGGUCUGAGGACGCUGUGCUGUGCAUCCAAGGUCAUCGACGAAAACUUUUAUGUGGAAUGGAGGAAGAAAUAUCAUGAAGCCAGUACAACCUUGGACAACAGAGAUGACAAGAUGGAUGAUGUAUUCGAGGAGAUUGAGCAGAACCUGUGUCUCAUUGGUGCCUCGGCCAUUGAGGAUAAACUACAGGACGGUGUGCCAGAGACCAUUGCCAACCUGGCCUUGGCUGGCAUCAAGAUCUGGGUCCUCACUGGAGACAAACAGGAGACGGCCAUCAAUAUUGGUUACUCUUGCCGCCUGUUGACGGAGGAGAUGGAGGAGCCAUUCAUCAUUGAUGCCGACUCCUUCGAGGAGGUGGAAGCCCAGCUGCGGAAGGCCCUGGAAGACAUUGACAAGAUGAAGACCGGCAAGCCAAACGACGGAGUCAUCAUCGCCAACGGCCAGGGAGCCCACUAUAACGGAGCCAAUGGAAAUGUUGCCAUCUCGGAUGAAUAUGGGGAAUUUGCAGUGGUCAUAAAUGGUCACAGUCUGGCGUAUGCCCUAAAGCCGGAGCUGGAGAGGUUGCUGCUGGACCUGGGGUCAAGCUGCAAGGCCGUCAUCUGCUGCAGGGUCACGCCGCUCCAGAAGGCCCUCGUGGUCGACCUGGUCAAGAAACACAAGAAAUCAGUGACGCUUGCAAUAGGAGAUGGGGCUAAUGAUGUCAGCAUGAUCAAAAUGGCACACAUCGGUGUCGGCAUCAGUGGUCAAGAGGGCAUGCAGGCCGUGUUGGCCAGUGAUUUCUCCAUGGCUCAGUUCCGCUACUUGGAAAGGUUGCUGCUCGUCCAUGGCCGUUGGUCCUACCUCAGAAUGUGCAAAUUUCUGCGAUAUUUCUUUUACAAAAACUUUGCAUUCACAUUGUGCCAUUUCUGGUAUGCCUUCUUUUGUGGCUUCUCCGCUCAGACGUUGUACGACCCCUACUUCAUUUCCUUGUACAACUUGUUCUACACAUCGCUCCCCAUCCUGGUCCUCGGUAUCUUCGACCAGGAUGUGAAUGACGACUACUCCAUCCGCUACCCGAAGCUGUACGCCCCGGGGCUGAAAGACGCACUCUUCAACAAGAAGACAUUUAUGUACAGUACCCUGGAAGGCAUCAUUACCUCCCUUGUGUUGUUCUUUAUACCAUAUGGUGCCUUCAACUACGCCAUCGGUCCAGAUGGCAAGUCAGAAGUGGACCAGCAGUCCUUCGGCUGUGUCGUGUCCUCCAUCCUCGUCGUUGCUGUCAAUGUCAGGUGUGCACUUGACACUUCGUACUGGACCGGGUUCAACCACUUCGUGGUAUGGGGCAGCAUCAUCUACUAUUUCUGCUUCAUCCUCGCCUUCUACUCCGAAGGCAUCAACUACUCAUAUGUGGGUGUGGCCUUCGAGGUGUUCUCCUCCGCCCAGUUCUGGUUCAGCCUCCUUCUGACUUGUACAGUGCUCAUAGUGCCUGUCGUGGCCUACCGGUUCUACCAGACGAACAUUACUCCAUCCCUUGCUGAUAGGGUGCGGCUACGACAGCGAAUCAAGAAGGUUAAGUCACGAUCACGUGACCUUCAUGUGCGAAGACAAUCCACAAUGCGUCGAAGCACAAGGUCACUACGGUCAGGCUAUGCGUUUGCUCACCAAGAGGGCUUUGGCAAUCUUAUUACCAGUGGUAUAAACAUGCGAGAACGGGCUAUAGAGCGGAAAAAGGAACCAGUCACGCUAACAAAGAUAACUCGCCAUGACAGUCAUAAGGCUGCUGGAGCCUCUGGAAAUGGAGUAUCUGAUAACAUUAUCUUCGUGGAAAGGUUGUGAUAUCCUUCAUGACAAGAACAAUAUUUUUAGAUGACAUUUGCCUUGAUGUAUAUAUUUGACUGUGCACUGGUUAAUUGAUAAUGAUUGGUUCUUGGAGUUGGUGCUUCAUGUAAGACAUAUGUUGGAAUUAUAUAUAUAUAUGCAGGAGUAGUUGUCUCCCUUUGGCUCCCACUCCAAAAGACGACUAUAUAUGGGUGAUUAAGGAGGAUUAAAUUGACAAACUCAAUAACAUUCAUCAAUAUUUUUUACCUACAUUUUACGAUAGACGUUAUCAAUGUAUUUUUCCUGUUCAUGACCACAUUAAUAGUUCUGCAGAGAAUUGAAGGGAGAUAACUCUGGAAACUUAUAUGUUCAAGGACCAACCACAUUUUAGUAUAUGACGAUGACGUAUGAAGCAGCUGGUUCAUUUUGAGACGCAGUGUUGACAGUGAUGGAUGGAUACAUUCAUCACCUGUCUGCAAGUGAUACUGUGAAAUGUGCACAGACGAAACCCAGGGUUUAUUCACAAGCAGUGCAUAAUGACACAGUGUACAUAUCAUACUCUUUACAUAUGUCAAUAGCAGAGAGAUGUAUUUAAUUGUAAAUAAUAUAAUUUUACCAAAACAUAAUGUUGAUCAUAAUCAUUUUUAUGUAUGAUCUGGUUUCAAACCACAUGAUGUUUCAAUGAUGUUUUCUCAUGUACCACAUGAAAUCAGUGAUAAUGUUAAAUUUGUUGAAAAUAAACGAAAGCAAGCUAUGGUUGCUUAAUGUUAGAGAAUAAAUUGCACUCUAAGUGUUUUCGAAAAUAUAGAUGCUUAAAGGCAGCAGCAAUCUUAUAUGACAUGUAAGUGUUGGUGAUUGUAUUCCUUGUGGCUGUUGAAAUGUUUAAGUUGUGUAUUCAAGUUUUUGCUGUCUGCUGAGCGUCUCCAUCUUCUUCACUCCAGAUUCCAUCAAUUUCCAUCGGACGUUAUGUCCAAGCACUCCAUCAGUAAGGCAUAUAAUGUGUGUAUGAUUAUGCCAAAAUAAUGUUCUACUUCUAAUGCAUAUUAUUGUUAUAUGUUUUUGUAUUCCGGAUGUAACUGGAAACUAUUGGCUUUUAACAAUUUGAUAAUCCUUCAGUUUUGGUGUUAACAUGCAUACUCAACCGAAAUGCUGCUUCUGUUACACUUUCUUUGGAGGGCGGAUCUUAAAUUUUGAAAAAUGUGAAGUAAAAUAAAAAUCAGAUACUUUUUAGGGGUAUUUUUGUAAUCCCCAAGAGAACAGGUAUGAACUGACUGAACCCCCCCCCCCCCCCCCGAAUCCACCUGUAGAUACACCUGUUGACUCGGCUUGCGUUAGACAAGAUGGCUGCACAAGAUGGUGGCCAGUUUCAAUAAUGCCCUCACACAGUUGCUGUGUUCUGUGUAACCUUGAGUCUGUGUCUAAACAUAGUGAGGGUCAUCAUUUAGGUACUUAUAUUCCGAGUACAUCAAACUGACCUGGCUCAAGGCUGCCUCCUGACCUGAAACCAGCCAUCGUUUGUCAAACUGACCACUACAUGAUCAAACAGAGGUACUGUUAAAAGCUGCAUGGAAAACAACUAUCAUCUUCAUAAAUCUCAUUCAAAAUGCUUUCUCUGAAGACCAUACCAUUUGCAGGAUUUCAGGAACUUGUUAUCUUCUAGUACUUGAAAUUGUCAAUAAAAGCUAAGUAAAGAUAGAAAAAUGGAUGGUUAAUUGAUUAUUGAUAAACUGAGCUAGAAUGUAGGCAGUAGGUAACUUAGAUGCAGAGUGGCAGUAUUAUUAUGUGGAGAACCGGCAUCUACCAUUGUAAUAGCUGGUAGUCUGAUAUAUACUUCUAAAAAAGGUUAAGGACUCCCCGAUUCUUUCAUAUUACUAUAGUUCAUCUGUCAUGGGAUUGGGUGGUCCUUAACUUGUUUUAAAAGUAUUGAACAGUACCGGUAAUCAGUACUCAACUGUGUGGACAUGUAUAUUAUGAACAAUCACAUCACUUGCACAAUGCAUUUGAUUUUUAACUAGGUGUUUAACAUUUAGCAACUGUGUAAUUGUCAUAAUGUGCUAUUCAGUUGUUAACAACUGGAUAUUUUUUUAGGCUUGAUCUCUUCAGAAUGCAACUAAUUUUUUUAAUAAUCAUUUCUGUAUGUUUGAGAGAAACAAAUUCAUAUUUUCUUUAUUCCUUGCAUAUCACAGGAGCAGUGAUAGCUUCAGUUCACAUCCGAGUGUUACUAAGAAGUGUUGAUUGCCAUGGCUACGAAGAAAACUUUUAUAGUUGUAAUAUAACACUUGCUUUUGGAAACAAACCAGCUACCUAUGAUAAACAUUUCUCAAAAAAUAUCAACAUAUCUUUUAUUGUUUUUUUGUGUGUAAAUGUUUCCUUAUUUUAUAACAGUGUGAAAUUUGCUUUGAAUAUUGUUGUUGAGAGUGACCUCCCCUUAUCUACAAUGUCAAUUUAGUUUUUUAGUUAUUUUGUAACGUGUUGUACUAGGGUUUGGGUCAAGACUUGUUGCCAAGCACCCACACCACUGUUAGGUCACCUAAUAUAUAGCAACUAUAUACACGUUUAAUGUCCGAGUAAGAUGAUGGCAAGUUAAUAAUGAAGCAUUAAAAUGUUUUGUGGCAAGAGUCUAAAAAGACCUACACACCCCAAAAAUUCAAACAAAUGUUGACGGUAUGACCCUGUGGCUAACAUUAUUCAUUUCACCGUGUCUGGGUAGGUCACAGUCUAACCAGGAUGUCGGACCUCUUGUUCCCCGACCGCCCAUAACCCUGAUGUAUCAGUGAAUUCUUCUACACUUGAUAAGUGCCAAAUCACUAUGACUUAACAUGAAUGUUAAUAUUGCCUAGGAUUGUGAAUAAAACAGAAAAUAACAAUCCUUUUUUUUAUAAAAAAAUUGUUUUUUCGUGAGUUGCAUUUUUUUAAAUUGGGGAAAGAAAUACAAUAUAAAUUGAUAGAUUUAUUUUAAUUAUUUGUUUUUUCUGCAUCAUUGUGGAAGCUGAGGUGUAACUUUGUCAAUGUGUUUAUUUCAUGUAUUCACUUAGCUUCCUACUUUCAUUGAACUAUGUAAGGGACUAUUGUUUUUGUUUAAUGCUGGAAGCAUCUUAUAGGAUUUCAAAUGAACUUUUGCAAAGUUUUAUAAAAUUUCUGGGAAUGUUGUUUUCUAUUUCAUUCACAUCCAUAUUUGUACAUAUAUUGUCAUGACUUUACAGGCGAGAGCUACAAGGUAGUCACAUGUUUAUGUGUGUAUACCGGUGUAUCACUGUGGGUUAUCAUGGAUUUUAUGUUUAUGUGUGUAUAUAUCACUGUGGGCAGUCUUGUAGUUGUAUGUGUGAUGUGUCAAUACACCACUGUGGGUUGUCACGGAAUGUAAUCCACGUCACUUCUCCCAGUAGAAACAGGAAGCGUAGUCUAUGUGCAUAAUGACUUGGAUAUAUGACUCCAUUGUGUGGUAAUAGUAUUCACACGUUACAGUAGGCCUCUGAAGGAUUCUUCAUGCUCAUAUCAGUGGUCCUUAGCUGAUACUUCAUAUUUGUUUCAUAAGAAAACCUCGGACAUUAUUUGUGCUAAUCAGCAGUUAUAAGUUGGCAAAAAUCACACAUAAUUUGAAUAUCUUAUACUAUCCAUGUCUUGAGAGCAAUAUGAAUUAUAUUUUAUAAAUUGAACUGAGGUAAAUCAGAGGACAUAUAUCGGUAUAUGGUCACUGGGUAAAUUAUUAAAAAAUGUUUCCGUUAAUUCUUUGAAAGUUACCAAUCUUUAUCAUGCUUGAGAAUAUUUGAAGACAUCAUUCAUGCUGUCACCAAUCGCACCUGUUGGCGUACAUUUCAUUGAAGGAAAUAGAAGAUAUAACAGCCAUUUCUACAAGAUGAAUUAUCAUUUGAAUUCAGUUUAAAUGUACAUUUACUGUACAUAGAUUUGUUGUUCUGUACAUAGAUAUUGGGAACGCCAUCUUUCAACAAGGAAUGUUUAAGCGUUGAUCUAUGUACAUUGUGAAGCUAGACCGAUCCAGGUCAUGUUACACGUAUCCAGUGAUUGUGUUGAUUUCAAAUGAUUCAUAUGCAAAUUAUAUGUACUAUUUACACACUGUUAUCAUAUUGAUGAAACUAUUUUUAAACUAUUUUGUCAUCCUCAGUGUGAUACAGAAUAUGUAAAUAUUUUCAUGUGAAUUAAGAAAUGUGUUGCCAUGGCUGCAUCGUUUCCAUGGUGACCUAUAUAAAUAUAUAUAUAUUUUGUUUGUAUAUUAUACACCCUUGUUUCUUUCAGCCAACUCUAAACGUCCUAUUCCAACUGAAGCCUGUUCUUGUAAACACUCUUAAGGGGUAUGUUUGCACGAAUAAAUAGUCAUAAUAAUUCCAAUGACUGAAUGCAACUAAAUCAUCAUGUGAUUUUGAAAUACUAAGUGCAAUUUUGGUGCAGCUGGAAAUUUCGUGGUGUAUAUGUUGUGCUGAUGUAAGAAGUAAGAAUUUUGUGAAUAGUAUUUCUAGUAUGUCAUAAUAAGGAGAAUGACUUUUUGAACAUGGUGAUACAUAAUAAGGACAACAUUUAUUGUAGAGAUGUGAUGGUUGCCUGUCAAUUGUUGAACUGCUUACAAGGGCCUUGGUUUGGCUGAACAUGUGCUUGAUAAGCAGACACACGUACUCUUGCCACAGAGUGGUGUGAACAUUGACGUCUGUCUGUCUGUGUGUGUUACUCUGUGACAACUGAACUUGCUCCCUUUGUGUUCACAGUAUAAAUAUUCUCUAUAUCAUGCUAUGUUUAUGGAGCAUUGCGCAUUCUUUUGUAAUGAUUAACACCUUUGCUUAUCAGUUUGACCUUCAGCAAAUGCAUAUCUCCCUGAUGCCUACCCCUAGUCAGAUGUCCUAGACAUAAGAAUAGCACAUGAACUGACUACCUGACAAGUAAUUCUACCUCCACAACCCUGUAAUCUGGAACUUUACCCUAACUUUAUGAUUGACCUUUACCUUAACCACUGACCUUGGCUCGAACACUAUCACUAACCUUGACAUUACCAUUAAUCUCAUUGCUGACCUUGGCUCGAACACUAUCACUAACCUUGACCCUUACCAUUAAUUUCAUCACUGACCUUGACCCUUACACUAAGACUCAACCCUGACCUUUACUUCAACUGAAACUGACCCUGAUUCUAUCUCCACUUCUGAAGUGAACAUUAGUCAAGCCAAAUCCUGCUCCUCACCUCUCUGCUAACUCAUCCAUACAUUGAGUGACAAUUACGACUACACACACGCCAUCACCCCGACUCCUCCAUCCUCAUGUGGGAUAUGUACUUCGUAUCUACGUGGUGAGUUCUGGUUAUUUCCAUUGAAGAUGUAUGCAGCUAUCAUAACUAGGUUCAUCACACUUGAGGUGCAAGUCUACAAGUAGCAUAUACUGAAAAUUGUGUGCUCACUACAAAAGAAUUUCCAAAAAUCUAUUCACGAUCCCUAGCAUUUUUUCGUUCAGUAUAUAUACAUACCAGAGGCCGUCCUUUUUUGGCAUGGUGUACACCCUCGCCUGUCUGUCAUUGCUAGUUAUCAGUCACCACGAACACCAUCCUAUUUCAUAGAUAGCAGAACUCACAUCCAAUAUUCUUGUUCAGGUUACAGAAGGUCAAGCUGGUUGCUGUGAAUACACAAUGCCAUUUAGAAAGUGGUCAGAUGUAACAAAUGUUAUAUUUGGGAUAACACUUUCUUAGUAAAGUACAGAUUCUCGUACUUUUUUGGGGUUGAGUCCAGUCUGGGAUUCGAUCCCACACUUGCCAGAGUGAGGCACCUAAUCGCCAGCACACAAAGUCAGCGAUCUAACCCACUCAGCCACUGAGGCUUCCACAAAAAUGAAAGUCCGACAACUGGUAGUCUAGAUCACGUACUUUGAGUACCCCUCUGACAAGUGUAAAUUGGCACGCUAUGAAUACACAAUGCCUGAGAAUACAAAAGUACGAGAAUCUGUACUUUACUAAGAAAGUGUUAUCCCAAAUAUAACAUUUUUACAAGCUGGUUGCUCUAGUCAUGGAAAAGGGGCCAUCCAUUUAAAUAGCAGAUAUGACUAAGUAGUGAAUAUGACCAACAACAUUGACCAGUAAACAUUUGUCUACCCAUAUGUCUAAGUAGCAAAUAUGUCCCAGUACUGAUAAUAAUCAGUUAUGAUAAUAUGGACCUUUGAGCAGCUAUCUGUUAGCUACUAGGAAUCAACAAUGAUAAAGACAUGCCUUGUCCUGUAUAUGCCCUCAUCUUAGUAUCCUGUCACCGUCUACCAGACACCCAUAAUCUGUGUGAGACACAGCGGAGAAACCACACAUGAUGAUACUGAGGGUACAGGUAGAGGUCAUCUGCAUGUGGUCCCUGGUACAGGGAGAGGCCAUCUGCAUGUGGUCCCUGGUACAGGGAGAGGUCAUAUGCAUCUGGUCCCUGGUACAGGGAGAGGUCAUCUACAUGUGGUCCCUGGUACAGGGAGAGGUCAUAUGCAUCUGGUCCCUGGUACAGGGAGAGGUCAUCUACAUGUGGUCCCUGGUACAGGGAGAGGUCAUAUGCAUCUGGUCCCUGGUACAGGGAGAGGUCAUCUGCAUGUGGUCCCUGGUACAGGGAGAGGUCAUAUGCAUCUGGUCCCUGGUAUAGGGAGAGGUCAUCUGCAUGUGGUCCCUGGUACAGGGAGAGGUCAUAUGCAUCUGGUCCCUGGUACAGGGAGAGGUCAUCUGCAUGUGGUCCCUGGUACAGGGAGAGGUCAUCUGCAUGUGGUCCCUGGUACAGGGAGAGGUCAUCUACAUGUGGUCCCUGGUACAGGGAGAGGUCAUCUACAUGUGGUCCCUGGUACAGGGAGAGGUCAUCUACAUGUGGUCCCUGGUACAGGGAGAGGUCAUAUGCAUCUGGUCCCUGGUACAGGGAGAGGUCAUCUACAUGUGGUCCCUAGUACAGGGAGAGGUCAUCUGCAUGUGGUCCCUGGUACAGGGAGAGGUCAUAUGCAUCUGGUCCCUGGUACAGGGAGAGGUCAUCUACAUGUGGUCCCUGGUACAGGGAGAGGUCAUCUACAUGUGGUCCCUGGUACAGGGAGAGGUCAUCUGCAUGUGGUCCCCGGUACAGGGAGAGGUCAUCUGCAUGUGGUCCCUGGUACAGGGAGAGGUCAUCUGCAUGUGGUCCCUGGUACAGGGAGAGGCCAUCUGCAUGUGGUCCCUGGUACAGGGAGAGGUCAUCUACAUGUGGUCCCUGGUACAGGGAGAGGUCAUCUACAUGUGUUCCCUGGUACAGGGAGAGGCCAUUGGUGGGCCCGCUCACUACAGUACAGCAAGAUAUCUAUGUUUCUUUUCACUUUCUUGUUAAUCAGUUUGUUCUCAUACAUCGGAUGUCAAUAAAUUGUACUGUCAGUGACGUUUGUGUAAAUUAUUUGAUGAAAUUAUGCAUAUAACAUUUUGUUACAUUGCUAUGCUCUUUUAUGUUUUUUUAGUGUUUUUUUAAUUGUGCACAAAGUCAUAUCAUUUCUUCCAUUUGUUUCCUAGUUGUUUUGUUCGGGGAAACAAUUUCAAUUGUUUUGUUAUCCAUCUGUUUAUGUUGCCAUGGGACCAAGAUUUGUUAGGUGUUUUCACAUGGUAAAGAGGCUUUAUUUGAAAUAUUCCACACUUUUUUUAAUGUAAAAGCUUCGACUUAACAAAUUAUGUUGAAAACUCUGAAUUUAAUUUCAAUAUUAUUUUCAAGCUUUAAGCAUGAAAAUAAUGUAACAGGGACUAAAUGGAGUUGUUUUACGAACAUGUAAUGUUUUAUGUUUCUUGGGUUAAGCCCCUUUUUCUAAUAUCAUGGUCGGUAUUUUAUGCCGACAGUGAAGUCCCACAUUCUGUACCCAACAUGCAAUGUCAUCCUGACCAACACUGACGAGUAGCUCUGUCAUGGAAGAAAAUGCCUGUUCUUGAGAGUAGUUUAUCACUUCUGUUAUAUGUCCUUGACUCAGCAUCAGCCCUGUGGGUUCCUUGUUAGAACAGGUCCCCAGCAACCUAUACUUGUCAUAAGAGGUGACUAAGGGAUCAGGCGGUUGAUGUGGUAGAUUGUGUGUCAUCAUGCCUCCACGUUGGGCCUUGCUCAUAACAUCGAUCUCUGGUUUGUCUGGUCAGACCUAGUUUAGUUAUUCAUAGGCUGCUCUGAUAUUGCUGAUAUAUUUCUGACUGUGGCAUUUGUCCUCAAGUAAACCCAAUGCAUAAUCACCAUCCAGGGCUUGUAAGAAAACUGCAUGUCAGCAAUACAGAGUUGGGGCAAAUGGGAUGAUCGUGGUCAUCGUUGGUAUCCUUGAUGGCUGAGGGGUGGCCAAGCAGAUCAAGUUGACUUCCUUCAACUUGGAUGUACUUGGGAAAAGAACCAAUUGAUGACCAUGACUGUGGCUUGGAGUGACACCCUCACUAUCGACCAUUGGUUUGCCAGACAGGUUGCCAUGUUAGGUUAACAUAGGUCCGACUGCAGUGACCUACAUUCACUGGUAUGCAACUUGUCUGCAUUUUAUAGUUAAGGACUGGAACUGCUUAUAUUUGUCCGUUCUUGUUAAGUUGUCUGGAGAAUAUCAUAUUAGGGGCAUGUACUUUGUAUGUUCUGGCACUGUUGGGAUCAAAUUGGGGGCGUGUACUUUGUAUGUUCUGGCACUGUUGGGAUCUUAUUGGGGGCAUGUACUUUGUAUGUUCCGGCACUGUUGGGAUAAAGUUAGGGGCGUGUACUUUGUAUGUUCUUGCACUGUUGGGAUCUUAUUGGGGGCAUGUACUUUGUAUGUUCCGGCACUGUUGGGAUAAAGUUAGGGGCGUGUACUUUGUAUGUUCUGGCACUGUUGGGAUCAUAUUGGGGGCAUGUACUUUGUAUGUUCCGGCACUGUUGGGAUCAUAUUGGGGGCGUGUACUUUGUAUGUUCCGGCAGUGAGAGGCUCAUAUUGAGGACGUGUACUUUGAAUGUUCCGGCAGUGUGAGGAUCGUAUUGAGGACGUGUACUUUGUGUGUUCCGGCAGUGAGAGGAUCAUAUUGAGGACAUGUACUUUGUAUGUUCCGGCAGUGUGAGGAUCUUAUUGAGGACAUGUACUUUGUGUGUUCCGGCAGUGUGAGGAUCAUAUUGAGGACAUGUACUUUGUAUGUUCCCGCAGUGUGAGGAUCAUAUUGAGGACAUGUACUUUGUGCGUUCCGGCAGUGUGAGGAUCAUAUUGAGGACAUGUACUUUGUAUGUUCCCGCAGUGUGAGGAUCAUAUUGAGGACAUGUACUUUGUAUGUUCCCGCAGUGUGAGGAUCAUAUUGAGGACAUGUACUUUGUACGUUCCGUCAGUGUGAGGAUCAUAUUGAGGACGUGUACUUUGUAUGUUCCGGCAGUGAGAGGAUCAUAUUGAGGACGUGUACUUUGUAUGUUCCGGCAGUGUGAGGAUAAUAUUGAGGACGUGUACUUUGUAUGUUCCGGAAGUGAGAGGAUCAUAUUGAGGACGUGUACUUUGUACGUUCCGGCAGUGUGAGGAUCAUAUUGAGGACGUGUACUUUGUAUGUUCCGGAAGUGAGAGGAUCAUAUUGAGGACGUGUACUUUGUAUGUUCCGGCAGUGAGAGGAUCAUAUUGAGGACGUGUACUUUGUACGUUCCGGCAGUGAGAGGAUCAUAUUGAGGACGUGUACUUUGUACGUUCCGGCACUGUGAGGAUCAUAUGAGAGGUGUGUUUAUUCCGGGACUUGAGGAUCAUAUCAGGUGUGAGGAUCAUAUUUGGGGGUUUGUACAUUCUGGCACUGUGAGGGUCAUAUUUAGUGUGUACAGGAUUGUCUCUGCACUAUGAAGAUCAUAUCACGAUGUAUCAGUUGCUUGUCCUGACAGUACACUAUGUUUAUGUCCCAUCAUGCUCCUCCUGACUGCUGUUAGCCGUUUAUUGUAACAUUCUCAAAUUUACAAGUGAUUUUUUUCUGAGAUAUGGCAAUAAAAUGAAUUAUUUUCAAAA